CCUACGGGAGACAGCAGUGGGGAAUAUUGGGCAAUGGGCGCAAGCCUGACCCAGCAACGCCGCGUGAAGGAAGAAGGCUUUCGGGUUGUAAACUUCUUUUAAGAGGGAAGAGAAGAAGACGGUACCUCUUGAAUAAGCCACGGCUAACUACGUGCCAGCAGCAGCGGUAAUACGUAGGGGGCAAGCGUUGUCCGGAUUUACUGGGUGUAAAGGGCGUGCAGCCGAGAAGACAAGUCAGAUGUGAAAGCCCGCGGCUCAACCGCGGAACUGCAUUUGAAACUGUUUUUCUUGAGUACCGGAGAGGUCAUCGGAAUUCCUUGUGUAGCGGUGAAAUGCGUAGAUAUAAGGAAGAACACCAGUGGCGAAGGCGGAUGACUGGACGGCAACUGACGGUGAGGCGCGAAAGCGUGGGGAGCAAACAGGAUUAGAUACCCGUGUAGUC
rnacentral:rRNA from 1 species